UACAGAGGGGGCAAGCGUUGUUCGGAAUUACUGGGCGUAAAGGGCGCGUAGGCGGCCCGCUAAGUCGAACGUGAAAUCCCCGAGCUCAACUCGGGAACUGCGUCCGAUACUGGCGGGCUUGAAUCCGGGAGAGGGAUGCGGAAUUCCUGGUGUAGCGGUGAAAUGCGCAGAUAUCAGGAGGAACACCGGUGGCGAAGGCGGAUCUCUGGGCCGUAACUGACGCUGAGGAGCGAAAGCAUGGGGAGCGAACAGG
rnacentral:rRNA from 1 species